UAAAUGGAAGCAGAAAAUUAGCGUUCUAGCUGUUGACUAGAAAGGUGUACGGUAGUACCCAUUUAG
rnacentral:tRNA from 1 species